GACCACAUGAAGGAGACAGAGAUUUUCAUCCCAUUUUGCAGGAAUCCUGUCAUCAGGGCUCUGAACCUCAUCAUUCCCUCAGGGAUCUGCCUCAUCAUGCUGAUCAUCUUGUUGUAUCGGAAAGGACAAAUACAGAAAGCAGCAGUGGCGUUUGUUG